UGGGAUCCCCUCCUUCGGCAGGACCUCCUCAUCUGGUGAGAUCCCCUUCCCAUGUCUAAUGCCUCAAACCGUUCGGAAAGCACCAGCAAGUUUUUUUACUGAGUAAUUAAUGUAUUGAAUGCAAGAUUGCAUUCUUGCACGGACAGAGAGUGGAACACCACCUUCAGUUCUCAUCUGAUCCCACUUGUGGACUCCAUGAAUGAAGUAAGAUAACAAUCCAUUGGUCAAUUACAUUGCCUCUUUAGAUGGUUUUUAGUGGGCGUCAGACUUGGUUUAGAUGGCUUUUGUUGUGAAAGAAAACUUAUCUUUCUAAAGACUGUACUCUGAAUCUUACAUCUCAUACUUGAAUUUUUUUUUUUUUGCAUAAUUUUUUUAGGCCUGAUGUGUAUCCAACGGCAUGGGAGAUUAAAGAUUUUCAUGAGUCUGACGAUUGUGAUUUUGGCCCUGUACUGAAUAGUUUUGUGAGCGACUGGGUGAUGAUGAUUACAAGCCAGGUAACCGAAAGAGUCCUUCGGCCGCUGGCUAGCUAGCUGUUCUUAUCUUACUAUUAUAUGUCUUCCUCAGUAUUGAUUUGUGAAUUAUUUCUUUUUUCGAACUAUGCAGGAGGACUGCAUGUGAUGAGUUAAGGCACAAGAACUAUGACCAUUUUAGCUCCAGCAGUAAGUACACAACUAAUCAACAAUGCAUUUUCACGACCCAGACUUCUGCAUUCUGGCUGACAGGCUCGCUGGCACAGCCACAUAAUCUCAUGCAUUCAAAUUGCUAGCUACACGAAAUACGCCCAGAUCUACGAGUAGGAAUCCAAGAAUAGGAAGAACCAUACCAACAGCAUACAUACAUAUUACAGUUCUGCAUUUUAAAUUUGAAGACCAACGCAAAGCCCGAUCGAUGUAAUUGGAGGCAUUGCAGUCCAAUUGUUCUAGGGAUUGGAACCAGACGUGUGACUGAAUACUGCUUGGAAGAUGUGAUUCUGCAAAGUUGAGGAAGUUGAGGAAGUACGGACUCAGAUCCUUUAAGGGUUUGUUUCCAUACUGUGGGGCAGCAGGAUCUGAGUCCCACUAUGAGGGAUCAACCUUCAUAGAUCAGCUACCGGCGUCAUACUGCCCCCACAAGGUAAACCC